GUGAUAGGUGGGACAUUCCGACACUCAAAUGACGACGUGACAAUUGCUCUUGUUCUAUCCUCACCUGAGCAGGGGACGAAGCCCAGCAGAGAGAGGAGCAGGGCGUACUGGAUGUGGCAGGCUCCCAUGGCUUCUCUGAGACUGGGAAGAGCUGAUCAGGACCUGGGAACUGAUAAACUACAGGAGUGAAUUCAACCAGACAGGGAUGGGUUAAUCCUUGUUUUCUGGCCAGGACAGUUCUAGGGAACAUAAGACUGGGAAGCCAGUCUGUCUUAAGUACUUGGAGGUUCCAGCAGGCUUCCUGUGCCUCAGGUUCUCUCUGGCUGCAUAUCUCAGCUCUGGGUCCCCUGAGUCCAGGAUCCCAGCGACUGUGUUCCUUCAGGGUCUAGAUGCAGGACAAUGGCCCGGGAGCCCCUGCUUUAACUAAACCUCAGGACUUCAGAGCCCAAGCCGAACCUUUUCAAGGCCUCAGCAUCUCAGUCCUCAGAACCCAGCUCCAACAGAACUCGAAUUCUGUGGGCCCUGGUUUGGCUGUCCUUGGAAUGUGGCAUUUAGAUUCUAUUUUCAUAGCCCCAACUCCCCUGGACCCAGGAUUCUUGUCACCCUUCUUCACACCUCGGCGUACAAUCCUCAGCACCAUGCCAUGUACAACCCAGGCCUCUCCUUUAUUCAUGGGUGAGCAGACCCAGAUGAUUCCUUAGACACAAAGUCCACAACUGAGCACUCUUCGAAGACCCAGGGAACAGCCCCAAACGUUCUCACCAGAGUGUCGGCAUUUGAAGACUACAGUUGUGCUCUGACGUUGUAACUUGUCUGCGCACGCGCAACUCCUCUCAGGCCUGCCCAUAGUGGCAACCGCAGGCAGACAAGACCACCGAAGCCCCAUUGGUUGAUGAAUAUUCCUCUCAGUCUUUGAUUGGAUAAGCCUGGAGAACCGCUGCAUCUCAUUGGUUCCGAGUGAGCCUAUGUUCUUCGAGAUAUACCAUCACAGGAGCUGUCCCCCCCCCCCCCAAAAUUCUCCACGGUCACAAGACUUCCUCUCCAGCCCACCCAAGCACCUCAGCAGUGAGGACACUUCAGCCAAAGCCGGCUCUGGCUGAGGUCUCCGCAUCCCAACCCAUGUGUCAGAUGCAGGGUAAAGGGGUAAAAAAAGCUACCAAUCCCUGAGCUCCCUAACCUCAGGACUUGAAAUCCAACCUAUCCUCACUCUGGAAGUCUCUGCUCUGAGAAGCUCCGCCCCUUAAGAAAUCCUAUACAAGCCCUGCCCUUAUUCAGGUCCUUGCUGUCCACUUAGAGAAGCAGAGGCAGCCACCCUUAUAUUCUCCUCUCCAUUCGCGACCCUCCAAUAAAUCUCUUUUCAUGA